rnacentral:lncRNA from 1 species
AGACAUUCAGCUCCGGCCUCAGAGAAAACCUCCGACUGCUCACACUGCUGACUGAUAACCAGGCCUCGCUGUGGGACAAACACAUCGAGAGAAGUGUUAUAGAGCGGGUGGCUGUUCUGGUGGAGGAGAUGGUUGAGCUGGUAUCGACGGAGGCUCAAAGACAGGGAUGCUGGGCUGUUCUUAAACAGGCUACAGGAGCUCAGCUGCUCUGUCCUGCUACUGGAGCAGCUCUCAGCAGGGAUGAUAUCAUUGCACCUGAUGGAACGGUCCGAGCUUGUGAUUCUGUUCAUGUGGACCCCGUCACAGGCCUCAUCCUGCCCACCAUAAACGCCCACAUGCUUCUGGCCAGCGGGCACAGCAUGCCCGUCCCCCCGGACUUCUUCCUGCACCCACAGACGGGCCGGGUGCUGCCUGUGGUCGGGAACGUGAGCUUCGACCCGUCCAGCUCCACUCUGGUGUACACAGCUGAUGCCUGUGUGGGUGAGGUGGGUAAAUGGGAUUCUCCUCUGCUUCCCUUCAUCCCCUUCCCUUCCUCUCGUCACGCCGAGCUCACAGGGACCUCUAAGCUGCGGGGUCUCCGUGCGGGACAGAGACUGGUCUUAGGAGGACCCAUGUGUGACUGGGACACCGGGGUACUGGUGCCCAUCCUGGCUGUGACCAUCCACCCCCAGACUGGUAUGGUGUACCCACUGGGCGGGGUCUACAUGUGCCCCAUCUCACGUCUUUAUCAGCCCAUCCAGAUUGGCUGCCCCAUGCUGGACCCCCGCACAGGAAACAUAGCGACGAU